GUCUUAUCAUAUUUUUAUGUAAAACAUGUUUAUUUUAAAAGUAUUAUAUUCUUUUUUGGUUGCCAGCUGUAUGUAAAAAAGGGUUGAAAAUAAUCAAAUUUUUAAAAUUGUUUGAAAAAAGAAAUCCAAAAUUUUAAAAUGUUUAAAAUGAUGUUUCUUAUUUUACUGUAUUUGUAAUCAAAUAAUUUGUGGAUGAAAACCUUGAUAUUGUACUUUUACAGGCAGUUGAAAUUACUGCAGAUCUUUAGAAAGGAUAAAAUGACUAAAUAUUAAUCAAAAAGUCAUGACAAUCUUCCCUGUUAUGUAUUUAUUUUUUGAAACAGAAGAAAUUAACAAAUAAACAUGAUAAAGAUUAUUUUAAAAUAAGGCUCUAGAAAAAAAGUUUAUUAAAACUCUUUGUAGGACAUGGGACCUAUAAAUAUUGCAAAUUUUAACCUAAUCUUUAUCCCCCAAAAUUAACCUAAAGAGUGUUUCAUGGCAUUUAUAAGUUGAAACAUAUGUCUACUAUUUUUAUCAUCUAAGGAUUGUUCAUUAAACAAUGGUUCCAAUCUUUCCAAAUAACUGUUAUGGCUCAGUAGCGGAUCAAGGGGGAGGGUUUCAGGGUUGGAACCCCCACUUUUUUGACGAUCAAUGCAUUUGAUUGGGGACAUAUGAUUGGGAACCCCCUUUUGAAAAUUUCUUGGAUCUGCCACUUUGGCUUACCCCAUGAGAUUACCAUUAUGUACUGACAGGGCAUUUAGUUAGAAAAGCAAUUAUUCAGUAAGUUGGUGCUGUGUAUUGAAAUGUUAUGUUAUUGUGUAAUGAUUUAUUUUCUUACUUUAGUAUUGUGAUACUGUCAGCUGAGGGAACAGCAAUCAUUUAUUUGCU
rnacentral:lncRNA from 1 species